CUUGGAGAGGGGUCCUGGGAGGGGGCCUUUGAUGAUAGCUUAUGGCAUGACACACAGGGAUACUGGUCACAUGAAGAGAGUAUUCCUUGUAUUCAGUGUAAGAGUGUAUUUACUGGAAAAGAAACCAGUGACCUUAAUAAUGAUAGUAACCACAGCGAAAAGCAAAGGAGCAAAGGAAAGAUAUAAACAUCUGAAUGCAGAGUUCCAAAGAAUAGCAAGAAGAGAUAAGAAAGCCUUCUUCAGUGAUCAAUGCAAAGAAAUAGAGGAAUGGGAAAGACUAAAGAUCUCUUCAAGAAAAUCAGAGAUACCAAAGGAACAUUUCAUGCAAAGAUGGGCUCGAUAAAAGAAAGAAAUGGUAUGGACCUAACAGAAGCAGAAGAUAUUAAGAAGAGAUGGCAAGAAUACACAGAAAAACUGUACAAAAAAGAUCUUCACAUCCCAGAUGAUCACGAUGGUGUGAUCACUGACCUAGAGCCAGACAUCCUGGAAUGUGAAGUCAAGUGGGCCUUAGAAAGCAUCACUACGAACAAAGCUAGUGGAGGUGAUAGAAUUCCAGUUGAGCUAUUCCAAAUCCUGAAAGAUGAUGCUGUGAAAGUGCUGCACUCAAUAUGCCAGCAAAUUUGGAAAACUCAGCAGUGGCCACAGGACUGGAAAAGGUCAGUUUUCAUUCCAAUCCCAAAGAAAGGCAAUGCCAAAGAAUGGUCAAACUACUGCACAAUUGCACUCAUCUCACACUCUAGUAAAGUAAUGCUCAAAAUUCUCCAAGCCAGGCUUCAGCAAUAUGUGAACCGUGAACUUCCUGAUGUUCAAGCUGGUUUUAGAAAAGGCAGAGGAACCAGAGAUCAAAUUGCCAACAUCUGCUGGAUCAUGGAAAAAGCAAGAGAGCUCCAGAAAAACAUCUAUUUCUGCUUUAUUGACUAUGCCAAAGCUUUUGACUGUGUAGAUCACAAUAAACUGUGGAAAAUUCUGAAAGAGAUGGGAAUACCAGACCACCUGAUCUGCCUCUUGAGAAAUUUGUAUGCAGGUCAGGAAGCAACAGUUAGAACUGGACAUGGAAUAACAGACUGGUUCCAAAUAGG
rnacentral:lncRNA from 1 species